rnacentral:rRNA from 1 species
UACGUAGGGUGCAAGCGUUAAUCGGAAUUACUGGGCGUAAAGGGCUCGUAGGCGGCCAACUAAGUCAGACGUGAAAUCCCUCGGCUUAACCGGGGAACUGCGUCUGAUACUGGAUGGCUGGAGUUUGGGAGAGGGAUGCGGAAUUCCAGGUGUAGCGGUGAAAUGCGUAGAUAUCUGGAGGAACACCGGUGGCGAAGGCGGCAUCCUGGACCAAUACUGACGCUGAGGAGCGAAAGCCAGGGGAGCAAACGGG